rnacentral:rRNA from 1 species
AAGGUUAUAUGAUCAAGUAAAGGAAGAGCACAGGGCGGAUGCCUUGGC